CCACGGUUACCCCCAAUUUUCACCGCGUCUGGAACGGUCUGAUCUGGAAUGGCGGCAAUUUUCGCAAAUUUCUACCGGGUCUGAUUGUGAGGCGAAUUCCGUGGCGUAUUAUGGACAGCAGGAAUCGCAAGAACUCACAAGAACUUACAAGUUGUCUCUUUAAAGACAGACACAUAGACAUAUAAGCAGUAGAUUGUGUCCUUCCAGAGGAGGAAAUCUACUUCUAGACUUCUAGAAUCAGCAUCUCCUCAUCCAUGGUGUCAUCGGGGUGAAAUGAUGUCUAAAAACCUUUCACUUGUUCGUCUCCGCCCGUUUGCAUGGUGUGAAAUACGAUCCUCCUGAAACACGGAGUGUUUUAUUUUGAAAAGAAGCCGGAUGUUUUAUUUUGUGUCUGUGCCCGACUUCCUUUCCAGCACGGGUUAAUCUGUGCUGAAUUUAUCCGCCAUGCUCCGGCGUCCAGAAAAAAUAGAACUCUUGUGAUCAGCUGAGGAGUCCGGCGAUCCGCAGAGGAACGGAAAGAAGUCGGUGUAAAUUGACACGUUAACUUGAAUGGUUACGAUCAGCUACGAUCGGAGGAUACGACCUUUUAGGAGACGAUCAGGAUGAAGGUGGAAAUUGGGUUUAGAGUCCUGUGAGUCCUUUACUCGAGUAUGAGGACUACCCCAACUGAACCGUAUGUUGUGGAAGAACCAGAGAUAAAACCAAACCAAAACUUGAUCCAUCAUCUCUUUCGUAAACUAAAUGAAACACCUAAUGAUUCAUGUGAUUGUUUUUGUGUUUAUUUGUUGAGAGAUAAAUCCGUUGUUGGACUCUGGUGUGAGAGUUAGCAGCCCACUAGUGUCAUUUCUCUGGGGAAAUCCUUGUUCGAGUUCAGACAGUAGAGCUCCUGUCUUUGUUCGCUUAAUUAAUACUUUGUCGUGGGCUGUUGAAACUAAUCGUUCUUGCAAUUAGAGUGUUGGCUGAAAAUGCUACAGCGACACAGGCCUUCAGCCAGAGAUAAUUAACACAACAGUGCUGCCACGGCUUAUUCAGUAGGAGAGCACUUGUCAUGGAGGUGGCUCGAGAUGCUUUAAUAAAAUGUGGAUCUGAAGCUUCGGAGAGAAAGGAGUGGUCAGGAGAGCCGAGGGAACAAACAAUACCUCCUGCUUUUGUGAUGAAACCUCCUGAAAAAUGUGUUUGACUAUCUCUCCGUGAAAGAAAAGACGAAAUACUUCAAAGAAGACAGAAAUUUUGGUGACGACUCGGCAUGGUUGUCCAAAUUCAAAUUCAGGAUUAAAAAGCACUCUGAGAGCUUUGAGAUUUGGAGGCAGAGGGCUUAGUGUUGGUGCCAAGAUUUAUUAUCAGAGAUGGAAAUACUCGACAAAUAAUGGACUAGAAAUAACUGAUUUCAACACUAAGAGGAGAAUCAGGAUUUACAAGACUCAUAGGAAUCAGAAGAAUGACAUAUUGUGUUCAGAUGUGUAUUAAGUGUGAUCCUCCAUUUGUCAAGUUUCUACCCUCAAAAAUGUCUUUAAAUACGAAUGAUCAUGUCUAGAUAUUUGGCUAUUGUUAUUAAUGUGGGGUCAAGUUAUCUGCCAGCAGUUACUCUGACUGGCUGAGUUGCGUAUUUAUCUGAAGUACUAAUCAUAAUUAUUCUGGAUUUAAGCCUUAAAAACUAGUGUAAAACUAAUUUAGGGUCAAACACAUGUAACAUCGAGUUAGACCCCCCAUCGAGAGGUGAAUGUUGCCGACCGCAGGAUGGUAAUACACAGCAGUCUGAGGAGCCAUAAACAAACCUCAAUCAAAACGCCACUCUAUAGCCACAAAUAAUGCUCAGAACAGCACCUAACUUCAUCAACAGGACAUAUAGGGUCACAGACAUAGUACUAGACACCAAACAUCUUUUUAACUUUGACUCAUUUCUUUAGCAAAGAGACUAAACACAACUCACCUACUCUCUUCCAGCAGACGCUUGUUUGUAGCGAAACCUCAGGCCAGUCCAAUACGGACUACAGCGGGGUGACGCAGCUCAAGGAAGAACAUUUAUGAUCAUUUCUUCAUGGUAAUACAAUCAGACCGAGACGCUAAGACAGAAGAACUACCGCGUCUGUAAAAUGAUUAAUAUGGUGAUUAUUACUUCAAGGAAAUGAUGAAGAAAUGAUCAUAAAUGUUCAUAAAGUUAAAAAGAUGUUUGGUGUCUAGUAUUAUAUCUAGGACCCUAUAUGUUCUGUUGAUGAAGUUAGGGGCUGUUCUGAGCAUUAUUUGUGGCUAUCAUUAUGCGUGGCUCUCUGUAUUGCUAUCCUGCAGUCGUUACUAAAGUUGGUAUAACUAGAGAAGCAAGCUGUCGGCAACAUUCAUCUCUGGAGGGGGGGUCUAACUCUGUGUUCCAGUGUGUUUGACGCUAAUUUAGUUUUAUGCCAGAAUAUCCCUUUAAUAAGGGGUCAAUUUAUCUGACAGCAUUACUCUGACUGGUUAAGUUGUGUAUUUAUUUGAAGUACCAAUCAUAAUUAUUCUGGAUUUAAGCCUUAAAAACUACAAAAAAGAGGCAAAAAUAGGAAAACACAAAGUCAACAACCACUAUUAUUCGGUGAGAUUAGAGGAAAAUGCUUUAAAAUUAUUUUGUUGGUUUGAAUAUUAAAAGAAAAGUGUGCUGCAAGUCCAACAUUAUCUCCUUUGACGAUAUCCUACCAUAUUAGCGCCAAAACAGCUCUCUUUAACCUAAUUCUACACCUAUACUUACGGGCCUACCUGUAUAGGCCGAUAGUGAGUACAGAACUUCAUUUCCCAUGAUUCCCCGCUCCACUGCAAACCCGCCCCCUUCGUUUGAAUGGCAAGUUGUUUGUUUCAGUCGGAGCAGCAGCAGCUAACUAUUCCAGUCGGAGAGCAAACAUGGGGAACAGCGGUCCUCUGCUUACCCAUUUAAAAGGGCUGCCAAGCUACGGGAGCCCGGAGGAACACUCACUUCCGCUUUCAGGAGCUUCUUCAAAAUAAAAGGCGUAGUCGAACUCACAGGAACGUUGAUAAUUAUUCAUCUGUAGGUGUCUGUGUUUGGCCCGUGAUGUAAUGUUUAACUAUAAGACAUGCCGAUAUAAACGCCUGAAUAGUGUUUCGGUAUGUCUGUAUCCUUCUUUUAAAAUAAUAAUCAUGACUCUGUUGUUAGCUUAACUGGUGAAAUCUGUACAGGCCAACAUGGAGACACUGAGUUACCCUUUUAUGUUCGACACUAAAACAUUCAGCCUGAAUAACAAAUAUUUCAUGUUAAACCUGCAAAAAUGACAAAUUGUAAAAAAUUAGCAGUUGAUGUUCACUGCUGUCUAUAUGCUAACUUCCUCCUAGCUGUACUGUUGCUAGGUGACUCUUGGAGUUGAAGCCAUUAGCCUCCUUGCUAACGGUAGUCAGGAUCUGAGGAAGUUCCAGUUUUUGGGAGGAAUCUUGAAUGUAAAGUCUACCCCUCCCAACUCGUAUCGUUCCAAUUAAAUUCGGAUAUAAUGCAGAUAAAUACUUCAGAUCAUUACAAACGGGGCCCAGUCAAGGUGAAAGUCA